AUCAGACUUAGCAGCAUCUUCCUGUCCCAAGAGAAGAGGGGAUGGGAGGAUGGCAUGGUUCAGGGCUUAGGGGAGGAUAGGGGAGAAAAAGUGGAAGCAAAGGGAGAGGCCCAGGAAGGAUUUUGUUGCGACAUGUUACCUGGGCUGCACCUGCUGUAUGCAAGAGAAGAGGCUGGGAGUCCCCUCUGCAGGGUGUUCAUGCCCCAUCUCUGUGCCACGAGGAGUUGGGCUGCUGAAGGUGAGUACAGGGAGGUUCCCUGUCAUCUCAAACCUCUCAGGCUCCACAGUACUGUUUCAAGUAUCCAGAGCUUUCCUGCCUUUGAAAAGCAAAAAGUUGUCUCAGGAGAGACAGUGUGAUUUUUGCAAGGUCAUGCAGGGUCACACAAGUUAAUAGCAAAACUAUAGUCAGAAUUCAGACUUUCUAACACAAGCAUAUGACAUGUAUACUUGUCCCAGGACUCUAUGUUCUAUGUUUUCCUCUUGUCACAUUUAUGGAUCCAGUCCAAGGCAGAGAGAACAUGACUCUGAGGUCAGGCAGAUCUGCAAGGGAAUAGCAGUUCUUCUCAGGAUUGUUGAAGAAAUUAAAUGAGCUCGAAUAUGUGAGUGCCUAGCCUAGUACCUGGCAUGGGGGGUUAUGCAUUCAGUGUGUUGCUCUCCUUCCCUUCCAAGGUAGCCUGGCUGUUAUCUCCUUUCUGGAAACUCAUUGAGCAUCAGAGAUCUUGACCUCCUUGGGCACACUCCUGAGUUUAUUUAGGCCUACAUUUAUAGGAUGUGUCAGGAGCUCAAGUACUUUAUGAACAGAGAUUAAUUGCUCUUAUGAUUUAAUGCAUUGGCCACCCACACUGGUGAGAUGCUCCCUGAACUAUGCUAUUUGAGAAACAAUGAAGGAACUUUGUGAGGCUAAUAAGAUUUGUGCUGUUAAUUUAAGUCUUGAGGAUGUGGACUACAGAGAGUAUAACAUUUUAUAGAAUUUGUUUAAAGCUACACUCUCAUCUUUGCCAUAACCUGGCCUUUCAUAAUACAUUCCCGUGGCCACCUAGCAUCAUGGGUAAGGCUCUCAUCAAAUGCUUCUUGGAGAGCAAUGCAUCUUGCAGAACAGGAGGUGGGAAAUUUCCACAAGGGAAUGACUAUGAAUGGGGUGGGAGAAAGACAGGGAAGCAGGGGAAGAUCAUUUCCAUUAUUUGUUCAGUGGUGAUUUUGGGUGAACAUCUCUCUUUAGUCCAGAAUGGGCAGGAAAAUGAUAUGAAUUGUAAUUGUUGGCAAGUGCGAAAUAAUAUAUUUAGUGAGGAAUGUAGUGUGAAGCACAUGAAACUGCACUGUCAGGAAGAGAAGUUGAAUCUGGGGUCAGAAGAACUGGUUUCCAUUCCUGGUUCUGCAAACUGCCAUCAAACUUGAAGGACUCAUUCUGAGGCAGAGAAUGAAUAAAUCAUUACCUUUGUGAAGCAUCAGAAUCAGCAGCACUUUCCUGUCCCAGGAGAAGAGGGAAGGGGAGGAUGGCACGUUUCAGGGCUUAGGGGAGGAUAGGGGAGAAAAAGUGAGAAGGGAGGCUGACAGAAGUGUUGCAGACACUGCAACACUUGCAUACUUAACACUGUAUACUAAAGUAGAUGUUAACCUGCGCUGCAAUCUGUAUAUGCUGAUUCAGCUGUAAUCCAGUCGCUCACUUGUUACACUCUUACAUUUUCACCAGUAAGUAGUCCUUGUGCCUCCUUGUAUGGGUGGCCCAGUCUCUGAUACUAGAUCAGCAGCUUCAGCUUCAUGCAGAGUCCUUCCUUUGAAAAACCAGCUUUUGCUUGAUUUUAUUAUAGGAUCUUGGUCUCAUGUUAGUGUCUCUCUACCUCAGUCUUCCCAGAAUGUAGGAAUUCUUGCCCAUAAUAUUAGGCCAGUACUUUUGUUCUAGGCUUAUCUCAACAGACCUGAUAUCCACCUUUUCUCUUCCUAUUACUCAGUAAGCAUCCAUCUUUAGAUUGUGAACAUACAAGACGCUGGCCUUUAUAGGGCCUCUUAUCUCUGUCACAGCAUGGAGUUUUCAUGAAAACAAGGGGCUGAGAACUCUGCUGGCACAUAGUAGGCACUCAGGACAGGUUAGCUGCUUUCAAUAUUAUUUUUCUGUUCGUAGAUGUCUUAGCAUGAUUAUUAUUUUUACUGAAACCCACCCAAAUUAUCCAUAUGGAACAGUGGGCUCUGACCCAGGAAAGGGGGGCCCAGGAAUUACUGUACUGCCUGUUGAGCACGUGCCUUAGUGUGUCCAUCUGUCUGCU
rnacentral:lncRNA from 1 species